rnacentral:rRNA from 1 species
GACGAACGCUGGCGGCGUGCUUAACACAUGCAAGUCGAACGGAAAGGCCCUGCUUGCCGGGUACUCGAGUGGCGAACGGGUGAGUAACACGUGGGUGAUCUGCCCUGCACUUCGGGAUAGGCCUGGGAAACUGGGUCUAAUACCGGAUAGGAGCCAUUUUUAGUGUGAUGGUUGGAAAGUUUUUUCGGUGUAGGAUGAGCUCGCGGCCUAUCAGCUUGUUGGUGGGGUAAUGGCCUACCAAGGCGGCGACGGGUAGCCGGCCUGCGAGGGUGGACGGCCACAUUGGGACUGAGAGACGGCCCAGACUCCGACGGGAGGCAGCAGUGGGGAAGAUUGCACAAUGGGCGCAAGCCUGAUGCAGCGACGCCGCGUGGGGGAGGACGGCCUUCGGGUUGUAAACUCCUUUCGCUAGGGACGAAGCUUUUUGUGACGGUACCUAGAGAAGAAGCACCGGCUAACUACGUG